GACGGAGGGUGCAAGCGUUGUUCGGAAUUACUGGGCGUAAAGCGCGGGCAGGUGGCCCUUUAAGUCCUUUGUGAAAUCCCGGAGCUCAACUCCGGAUGUGCAUAGGAUACUGGAAGGCUAGAGACUGGUAGAGGCGAGCGGAAUUCCUGGUGUAGCGGUGGAAUGCGUAGAUAUCAGGAGGAACACCGGUGGUGUAGACGGCUUUCUGGACCGUAACUGACGCUGAGACACGAAAGCGUGGGUAGCAAACAGG
rnacentral:rRNA from 1 species